AUUCAUACAGUACCAUGUCCCGGGUCUGACCCCCCUGGACCCUCUGGGUUUAUCCCUGCUGGUUCUGACCCUGGUGGUCUUCAGUUGGACAACACAGCCGCCAUUUUACUUUGAGGACUCUCGGCUACUUUUGCUCGCUCCGGCUGGGUGUAGUGGACGAUGUGCUGCAGGAUCCCCCACAGAGAGAUCGGGAUGGUCAGAAAGACGAAGAUGCCGGCGAUGAACCAGGCUUUACUCAGGUGAGGGUGGAGGUGACGAAGCAGGAAGUCUACCUUGUCUUUCUGCAGCUCCCAGAUGCAGAGCGGCAGCACGGCCACCAGCAGGAGGCCGUAGAGAACCAGAACCAGCGGGCGGAUCCACCUCCUCCACUCUGCGCAGGAACACGGCAUGAUGGCUGCUUCACCCUCAGCCUCGACUACAGACACAUCCUACAACCUCGGGCCAAACCUGGAGGACGGACGUGUCAGAUGAUACGACCGAAACUGGCAGAAAUGAACGACAGUUCCCGAAGUGUUAGCACAGACAAGCUAACUGCACCUAGCAUUGCUGUUUACUAGCUCAUAUUGUUCCACAGUGUUAAAGCAGCUUCCUUAUUGGUCAACAGCAAAUAUUUGUGAGUCAACGCUCACCAAAUUUGAGCUAAAUGCUAAAGCUAACACCUUAAAAGAGAUGUAUGCCACUCCACAGCAGCAAGCCAAUUACCUGACCACAACAAUACCAUUUCAAUUUAGAUUUUUUUUAAAAAACAAUUAAAGAAAACAGUGUUUUUAUGUGCAUGUUUUCUUUGCUCCUGUUCAAAGUGGGCGCUAACUGUUUAGAAGCUAAUGUAGCUAAUGUUAUCGAUUGAGGUUUCUCUGUUCAAAUAAACACAAAUCUGUAGAAUACAGUUCAGUCACAGUAAUAAAGUGUUCAUUAUCUCAACAUAUAA